AUUUAGAGAUAACAACAAGACAUGGACAACAUCCUAUGCUCUAUGACAGCUAGGACAAAUUCACUUGGUAGGCCCAUGCAAAGCUCGAUGUCAUUUUAUCAGGUCAUCGAACCUUCAGAGAUCUUUAACGAGGAUUUGAUCUGAGUGAAAUAGUUUGACGGACGUCAUGAAUACGGAAGGGGAGUUUUAGGGGUACUACUAAACAGAGAACUCUAGAGAACUUUAGAGAACUCUAGCGGGUUUUUUUUAAAUAACUCCCUUCGGAUGAGGUGAUAGAUGCUGUAGUUAAUCCACCAUCAGUUCUUUAUAGGGUCCAUCUCAAAACACAGGUACGUUAUAUAACGUUAUAUAGGAGGGAUGAGCAUAAAACACAUUGAAAAUAUAAAGCUGGACUGGGAAUCGAACCCGGGACCCUGCAACUCUAGUCAGGACCUCUACCACCGAAUGCACAAUAGUCUAACUUAUGCAAGGUCAACACAGAAUGAUGAAGAAGAAACGUUAGACCCGAUAUCGGUAUUCACCAAGGCAAUACUGGACCUACAAAAAGAAAUAACAAUUCUGAAGCAAGACAGAGGCCAUUCCGUUGACCACCGCACGGUUGAUCUACAUAACAGGAGCGAACAUAAAAAUACUGUAGUUUCUCAUUAUUGUAAACAGGAAGGACAUGUCAAAGCUAAGUGUUUUAAAUACCCGAAAUCGUUAAACAGAGCAACGAAUACAGACUGUUGUCGAUCAAGGGAUAGUUUGUCUGAUUUAAGGAAUAAAUCUAAUAAAACCAUUAUAAACAGCUUACAAGCAGAAAGGUCAGGUGAAACCUUCAAAGCUGAAGAAGCUGGCAUGUUUUGAUAAAUGGGAAGGUAGAUUCCGGAGCAACCCUGAGUAUGUUAGCGCCUGAUGUCUUGGACUCUGUUGUUUCAGGAAUAAGCUGAGUAGCAACUGCAAAUGGUCUACCACUUAAGAGUAGACCGAUGGUCUAACGACAUUAACUAUGCAGUUAGGAAGUGAGAGCUUCACGCAAAUGUUUGCUUUUGCUGAAAUAGGUAUUGAUGGUAUGUUGGGACUUGAUUUCCUGAAAGAUUAUGACUGUUCUCUAGACAUGGCUUCUUCGUCAUUAAAAAUAAAAGGAAAACGCUAUGGUCUGCAUAUGGAAGGAAGAAUUAGCUGUUGCAGGGUUACCCUGGCUAAUAAUUUUGUUUACUAGGAAGUAGUUAGGUUGUUGCAGCGGACAACGUUAUAGCUCCCAUGUUUGAUAAUGUCACAGAGUGUGGAUUUGUAGAAAUUUUGAGUCUGACUGUGUCUCCGUGACCGGAAUUUUUGUGACUGAAGAUACAUUUGCACCAUUGAGGGCGAUGAACUCGUCAGAACAUUCGAGUUCUUUAUGUUUUUAAUGGGACAUUGGUGGCAAACUCGGAACCAAUAGACAAUAUAAAGAAAUUGAACAAGCUUGGAUGCUAGGAAGGUGUAGAUGUGAAAAGGCAACAAAACAGCGAGGUUCAGAUGAUUAGAUUGCACAAAAUCCGGGAGAUCGUAUUAGAGAAAUUUCAGAUGAGAAUAGCGAUGACGACAUUACAACGAGUGAUAAAAAAGCUGUUUCUCAAGAGAAAACCAAAGAUGGAAGUUAGCUUGAGGGAUGAAUGUUUCGAAAGCCGACAAUGCCUUCGCUUCCAAUAGUUAAUAAACGGAAUGCUUUGGACGUCAACUUGUCUCCUGCACACCCUAAGAAGAUAAGAAAAGACGUUGAAAAAUCGUUUGUUAGCAGGAAGGACUGCGAAACUCAAACAGAGCCAUUGAAGAAAAGCUGUUAAGAAGUUCAGAAAUGGAAAUGUUGAUACUAAAAUUGUUUCUAAGAAAAAUUUGUGCUUGAUAUGUUAAUUAUUUGACAUGCAUUUUGAAGGUUGUGCUUGAUAUGUAAAUUAUUUGACAUGCAUUUUGAUGGCUUAAGAAAGAUAUCUGUUAGUGCUGCAAAGAUUAGAAAAUUUGUAGUUUGAGUAUUGAUGCUAAAUAAAUCUUACUUUGGU
rnacentral:sRNA from 1 species